rnacentral:rRNA from 1 species
GGGGGCCCGCAAGCGGUGGAGCAUGUGGUUCAAUUCGACGCAACGCGAAGAACCUUACCUGGGCUCGAAAUGUAGCGGAAUGGGGUGGAAACAUCCCCGUCUCGCAAGAGACUGCUAUAUAGGUGCUGCAUGGCUGUCGUCAGCUCGUGUCGUGAGAUGUUGGGUUAAGUCCCGCAACGAGCGCAACCCUUAUCCCUAGUUGCCAUCGGGUCAAGCCGGGCACUCUAGUGAAACCGCCCAGGAUAACUGGGAGGAAGGUGGGGAUGACGUCAAGUCCUCAUGGCCUUUAUGUCCAGGGCUACACACGUGCUACAAUGGUCGGUACAAACCGUCGCAAACCCGCGAGGGGGAGCUAAUCGGAAAAAGCCGGCCUCAGUUCGGAUUGGAGUCUGCAACCCGACUCCAUGAAGCUGGAAUCGCUAGUAAUCGCGGAUCAGAACGCCGCGGUGAAUACGUUCCCGGGCCUUGUACACACC